rnacentral:rRNA from 1 species
UCCUACGGGAGGCAGCAGUGGGGAAUAUUGCGCAAUGGGGGGAACCCUGACGCAGCCAUGCCGCGUGAAUGAAGAAGGCCUUCGGGUUGUAAAGUUCUUUCGGUAAUGAGGAAGGGAUGUUGUUAAAUAGAUAGCAUCAUUGACGUUAAUUACAGAAGAAGCACCGGCUAACUCCGUGCCAGCAGCCGCGGUAAUACGGAGGGUGCGAGCGUUAAUCGGAAUAACUGGGCGUAAAGGGCACGCAGGCGGACUUUUAAGUGAGAUGUGAAAUCCCCGAGCUUAACUUGGGAACUGCAUUUCAGACUGGGAGUCUAGAGUACUUUAGGGAGGGGUAGAAUUCCACGUGUAGCGGUGAAAUGCGUAGAGAUGUGGAGGAAUACCGAAGGCGAAGGCAGCCCCUUGGGAAUGUACUGACGCUCAUGUGCGAAAGCGUGGGGAGCAAACAGGAUUAGAUACCCUGGUAGUCC